rnacentral:rRNA from 1 species
GAUGAACGCUGGCGGCGUGCCUAUACAUGCAAGUCGAGCGAACGGACGAGAAGCUUGCUUCUCUGAUGUUAGCGGCGGGCGGGUGAGUAACACGUGGAUAACCUACCUAUAAGACUGGGAUAACUUCGGGAAACCGUAGCUAAUACCGGAUAAUAUUUUGAACCGCAUGGUUCAAAAGUGAAAGAAGGUCUUGCUGUCACUUAUAUAUGGAUCCGCGCUGCAUUAGCUAGUUGGUAAGGUAACGGCUUACCAAGGCAACGAUGCAUAGCCGACCUGAGAGGGUGAUCGGCCACACUGGAACUGAGACACGGUCCAGACUCCUACGGGAGGCAGCAGUAGGGAAUCUUCCGCAAUGGGCGAAAGCCUGACGGAGCAACGCCGCGUGAGCGAUGAAGGUCUUCGGAUCGUAAAACUCUGUUAUUAGGGAAGAACAUAUGUGUAAGUAACUGUGCACAUCUUGACGGUACCUAAUCAGAAAGCCACGGCUAACUACGUG